UCCCUGGUGGUCCAGGGGCUGAGACUCUGCACUCCUAAUGCAAGAUCCAGGGUUCAAUCCCUAGUCAGGGAA
rnacentral:tRNA from 1 species